rnacentral:rRNA from 1 species
UACGUAGGGACCGAGCGUUAUCCGGAUUCAUUGGGCGUAAAGAGCUCGUAGGCGGCUAUUCAAGUCGAACGUGAAAUCUCGGGGCUCAACUCCGAGCCUGCGUUCGAUACUGGGUAGCUAGAGUCUGGUAGGGGGAUCUGGAAUUCCUGGUGUAGCGGUGGAAUGCGCAGAUAUCAGGAGGAACACCGGUGGCGAAGGCGGGUCUCUGGGCAGUAACUGACGCUGAGGAGCGAAAGCGUGGGGAGCGAACAGG